GUUCAAUUUUGAUAUCAAGAACAUAAAGUAUGUAUUUUCCCGUCAUUUCUUCGAGAAAACUGAAUAUAUAGAAAAUACUGAGGAUGCAAUCUUUUCAUCUUUGACUAUAUAUAGUCAAAACCUUAUUUAAUAUGUUUAUUAACGAUGUUCCUACAUUGUUUAGCAGUGUUGUUACACGAUUCAUGAGUUUGGCGAAACAGACUUGAGCUGUUUCCGACCUCGAAUGGUCUGGCCAAUACAACUAC